CGCCUUUCGGCCGAUUCGAGGCUCGUUAGCGCGGCUCGAGUGACGGGGGGUUUCAGUCGGUCUUCGAAAACGCGACAAGCAACUUGCUGAGAGAACCGGCAGACCACGUGGAAUAAGGAGAGGGAAGAGCAGAGGUGAAAAGCGAGGAGCACAAGAAACAAAGCAACGAUAAACAAGAGUCACCGUGGUAAUUAAAAAGUUAAGCUGCUAAGUAGCGAUACAAUCGCGAAGGCAGCGCAAAGUGAAGGACAAAUACAAGAGGAGAAAGAGGGGUUGGUUUGACUUGGAUGAAAUAGCUAGGGAGAAUAGAAACAGCAACUUGGAUGAAACAACUCUGUGGACUAAGCACGGAAUAAGGCUAAGCAGUGAGUGUAGCAUGGUUCGAGAAAGAGAUAGACACGCUUGACAGUUACUUCUUCGGAUAAUAGAACCGUUUCGUAAGCUCCAAUUACCAGCAUCGUCGAGAACCAUCUAACGCGAGCCUUCUAAAGUAGCACGCUAGCUAAGAAUUCUCUCUCUCUCUCUCUCUCUUUUUCUGUUGCACUGUUUACAAUUUCGAUGUUUGUUCGACGACGAAGGAAGGGUUUCUCCACCGCAAACUCGAUGUUCGCAGAAAUCUUACCAUUCUGUCCAGUCUCGUAUAGUCUUCUCCCUGCUCCUCCUUCUACGAUGUUUUCUCUUCCUCUUAUCUCGUUCUUUUCCUUUUUUACCCUGCUCGGUCGAGACGGUUCGCCAACCGCUACUCUGUAACGGCGACCCCGGCGAAACUUUCUAGACUCCCGAUUUCUCGGUGUCGCGCGCGAAGCGAGGAAAGAAAUCUUCGGCAAGACAAACUCGGCCCGCGAUCAAACGAACGUCGCCACGGCGCGUCUACUCUUUAUUUUUCCACGACAACACGGUAUUAAAAACGGGAGAGGUGUAAUGAACGCGAAGAACAAAGACCAACGCGAAAGUUUUCUUUAGAUUUAUCGCUUCCAAGUAGAGUAAAAAAAAAAAAAAAAAAAACAAGGAAGGGAAAGAAGAACUACGUCGUCGCGGUGUUAACCAAGUCUAGGAUUACCAAAGACCAUACUCGAGGAAUAAUUUUAUUUGGGCGUGAAACGAGAACGAAAAAUCGGGAAAAUGAGAAGUGUAAACAAGUUUGCACGGAGAAGAAAAAAAAAAGAAACUAGUAUAAGGAGGAUUUCGCGAACAGAACCGUGAGAAUUUUUCAUUGCAACUUUCGUAAAAUUUUGUUUGUCUUUUCUUCUUCGCGAUGCGGCCCGGUUGCCGCUGCCUUCGCCGUGAUUAUCCGCGGAACGGAUUUAAAACUGCGUUAGCGCCGGCUCUACGAGCACCGGUGCGCCACCGUCAUUACAUUUAUUUACAAGUUUCCAAGAACAGCGUCGCGCCGUGUCUAAAUACCCAAGUAAAAAAGAGGAAAAGAGAGUUGGUGCGCGAAAUCCUUAAGGAUUUCUUUUUUCCUGAAUUCAUCGCUCGCGUAUCUAUGCAAAACACGAGCAGAACAUACGUAUAUCGCUGAAACUGACUGUGGAAUAAGUAGAAUGUAUUAUGAGUAGAAUGUACUAUAAAGUAAAAUGUAAUAUUCUGAACGUCUCCUUAACAUCUCAAGUUUACUACUGAUAGAGUUCUUGAGAAAAAGGAAAAUUGGGUACCUACACUAUAAUAAAAUAAAAUAAGAGAUAUCUGGUUUAAAUAUACUUAAUGCUACUUAAAAAAAUUCCAAUAUGACCACAUUUUUUAAAGAAAUGGAAUUACGUGUUCUUACUAUCGUCGAUUUAUUGUACUUUCAAGAGCGUUCAAGAAUGUCAAUAUCUCGUUGAAACCAAAUUAUUAAAAAUGAAUAUUUCGUCAGUGCUAACCUAAUACAAUUAAUCAUAGCUUAACUCGAAAAUUGUGCCAAUAAGUAUACUAAAGCCUAACAGAUCCAACGUCUAUCUUCUAAGGAGAGAAACAUCAGUUCUUAACCAUACCGAAUGACAAAUCACGUCCCAGAGUUAAUAGAUUUCCGAGAAAGCGGGGUGGAAAUGUAGAAGCAUAAAUUUACGGUCAACCCGAGAGAAAAAAGGGUUUUCCUUUUUUACCCUAGUUCGCGCGUAUUCGAGAGGCGAGAUUGUUACCAGAGAGGCAAAAAGCAAGAAGGAGAGAGAGAGAGAGAGAGAGAGAGAGAGAAGAAGAAGAAGAAUGAGAGAAAGAGCUGUUGGUCUCUCGAAUGCGGCGGCUGGCGGCGCAGAAGAGCCUCAUCAAACUGAAAUUUCGCCGGGGUCUUAUCCUAAAUUCAUCGUUGCAAUAAACUCCGCGUUACAGCUUGUACACGACCAGUGCCUACCCCCCUCCCUCCCACCCCCGAGACGAGGGAUGUCGGCUCCAAAACGCGACAGGCGAGAAAAGGGAAAGGAGGAAAGAAACACGAGGGUGAACACGAGGCGUUAGGGAUAGAAAUUCCGAAGGCAAAGCAGGAGUCUCGAAGUUAUACAGAGUGGCCUGCGCGCGAAAUGUAUAUUUAAUGCCAUCAUUCUGGAAAGCAGCGGACCUGCCCGUUUAUAUUUCAGUGCUUGGCAGAAUUGUUUGCUACUUUUUCUUUCGCUGCCAACCCCUCGAUAUCCAGCCAUGUCAUCUUGUACAUGUACACACAUAAAAAAAAAAAAGAAAAGGAAAAAGAAAAAAAAAGGAAAUAUCGGGAGAGUACUCUCGUCGUAUAUUUUAUCGUUGUUUUCGGAUAUUCUUCUUUUAAUUUGUCGUAUAAUUAAAAAUGUUGACCAUAUUUCGAAGAAUCUUUGUUCCAUAUUUUCUUCUCUCCGCGAGGUGAAAAGAAAAGUACGGAGGAUGAGAAGUAGGCGGUAGCUUGAGUAAGAUCUCUUAAUUUCGCGUCGAGAUAACGCUCGGUCCCACAUCGUAAUAAGGGUAGAGUAGAAAUAAGAGAGGCUGAAUGAGAAGUUUUUAAUCAUCCUCCGUAUUCCCCAGUCGUUGCUCUUUCUGAACGCUGCUGUAUUUCUAGGUCACCGCGAAAUUUGACAAAAUGAUUUUUUUUUUGCAAACUUCGGGGCGCCGAAGUUUCUUUCGAAACUGCAGAGAACGUCGCACAGUAGUUUAAUAGUAAUAAGUUUGUUCAUAUAAAGUGUAUAUAAUUAUUUAUAUUUAUAUAAAAAAUGUAUUUUUACAUAUAAUAAAUUGUAUAUUACAUAGUGUAUAAUAAUAUAAUACAUAAAACACAAUAAUCAUUGAUUCGAAAAUACUUGGAAGCAAAUAAUUAUUCGUCAUCGCGGUCUUAUCUCAUCCUGGACCACUAUGCGUCGUGCAGAAGAAUUGAAGCAGUUUCGGAAAUUCCUUCUGAUUAAUGCAAUACCCAAGGCACAUUCUCGAUAGUCUCGAUCAAUCGCUCUAUUUAUUCAAAAAAUAUUUACACAGCGCAAAGAAUUAAAAGCGUUAGAAAUUAAUAUCGCUAAAAUUACACGCUGCACAGAGGGGUUGCUACCCUAUUGUGUUGUAUUUCACGUGAACUCGUCAGAUAAAUCACGAUUAACACAUCUGGUACCGAUGGUACGUUACAUUCGUCAGAGACACGAUUUUCAUUAAACGAACAAGUGUACUCUUCAGCUUAAUACUGAUAUAAAAUCAGAGGGAAAAUGUAACGAACGUGCGAGGAAUUAUCGUAAAUGAAUAUCGCGAUACAAUUUCCAGAAUCCAUUUCUUGCCCCUACGAAAGACCUGUGCGUUAUAUUUUUCAUCGAAAGUGUCACUGUACAACAGUGAUCAACAACAUCAAACAUCUCUGUACGUUUUAUCAUUAAUUUAUUUAUACCAUCUGUGAAUUUCAUCAUAUUCCCUAACGCCAUAGAUGAAAUUAUUUCUCCAAUCACUUCUGCCCGAGGAACAAAGCGGUCGCUUGUCAGGCGAAAAUUAACAAAUCAAAAUAGAAGAGCUACGGUGAUCGUGGUUGAAAUAAUAAAGCAGCCGAACUCAUUAUUACCGCGUUCCACGGGCAUAAAAAGCGCAUAAAUCUCGCGGACGUGGACCAAUAUAAUCCGACCAGCCGACUAGCAUCACCGGAAGCUCUCUCAGCCGCAGCAUCAGCAAAUCUGAGAGAGAGGCACAACGGGUAUCUCAUCCGCGGCUUUACAGCCGUGUAAAUCCCACGGAGGGCUUCUUAAUACUUUACUGCCGUCAUGUAAACGUAAAACCACCCCAGCGUCCAAUCUUCCGGAGUUGCAGUCGUCGCUGUUGCGCCAGGAGUUUCAGUCGGGGCUGAUGCGAUGCGGUUGCUCCGAAACGCGUAGGUGGUAUCAGCCGAUAUCGUGAAUCCUGAUCUUCACCCGGAUUGGACGUUGUUUUAUUGGACGUACCGGUGUUUUAUAGAUUCCGAUUUUCUCCGGCCCGAUGAAACCACUUGAGCUUCUCUCGUUUGAACUUUAACCUUUUCCCUCCUUCCUUCCUCCACUCUAUCCUGUUUCUGUGUACCACAUCACUCAGACACGAUUUGGAGUUCCGUAUUUUUGAUCGACGGACACGACGAUUUUCCUCGUCGAUCGAUCUCCAUCGAUGUAAACCAGUCGUUCUUUCUUCGUCGUUUCGUACCACGUAGUUUUUCCUAUUUUUUCUGCUUCUUUUUCUUCUUUGUCUUUACAUAGAACACUUUACCUUUCACGCUGGAAGAGCAGCACUGGAUAAAAUGCAGAAUCCGGCCUGGUUGAUCUUAUCAUUCGAUGCAUGUCUCCGUAGUCAACGAUAAAGAUACUGAGAUUGUCUGGCUCUAAAUCAUGGGUUUCCUUUGAAGAAUCUUCUACAUCGCGUCCACUCGGCUCUCCGUUUCGAGAGCAACGUUCAAGGAUAAGUUUCAAAGGAUUUUUCGAUUGAUUAGUCGGUGAUUGGACAUCGAAAAGAAUAGUAAAAUUGACAUAUAUAGAUAUGUUAUACGCGACUUUGGAAAAGUGAUUUACAUUUACCUUAGACUCGAUGACAUAGGGACGUACAGACUCGUGCUAACUUAAUAACAGUAAUAUUUCUAUGUUUCUUAUUAUUCAUAAGAUAUUUGUGAAAAAUUAGUAAAAGGUAUUAGAAUAUAAAAAUAACCACUUUCCUAUUAAACGUAUUUCAACAGCAUACGUACAUAACGUAUUUCAACUACCAUAUUACAGACAACAUACGUACUAUACAAUUUAACACAGUAAGAUAGAUCGAUAAAGAAGCCUAAACCUCAGGACUGAAAUAACUUUAUCCACCAACUUCGCGAGCCGUCAUUAUUCCGCAAUCUAAAGAAACAACGAAACAUGGAGAAACUUGUGCAAUUCCCUUCCAGGCGACGACCUCAUGUCAAUCCCUCGUAUCAAUCUAAUACCACAGUCGAUACUUUUCCAUAGCAUCGAGCAACUGAGAGUUCAGUUUGUUAAUUCGUUGGAAAAAAAGUACACGAAGCAACAGCGAAGUAAGAAAAUUACCGGGUACGAAUGAUUUGUUCCACGUGUUUUCGCGAGUAUGGCGCCAACGCUUCUGCAAGAUGCACGAGCCCCGACGAGUAUGUCCCCGGUCGUCCAUUGUGAGCACCACGUGUUAUAACUUGCGUGAAACGUAUGGGGCGCGGAGCAGUUCCCUCAGGACUGACGCACGGCCUCGAAACUUUUCUUCUCCCCCUUAUGAAAUUGUAACGCAGACACGGAUUAGCAUGGAGCCCAUUGUCUGGCCUGUGCGCCAGGGAAAAACGCACACGUUCGCGUGACACGUCGUGUCGCGGAACCACGCUGCGAUACCAUCGAAUCGAUCCCGUGUUACGCGAGAUGGACGGGCUAAGACCGCGUUUUCCGACUCCAUUUUCAUUGUUCCUCGUUCGUCGUCGACAGGUCUGGUUCGAUUUAAGUCGGUGAAAUUAAUGGAACCGACGAUCGUUCCCUCUCGCGAACCAAUUCUGUCGCGUUCAAACGCUUCAUUAUGGAAAUAGACAGCGAGCGAACUAUACCCAGUGCCAAUGAGGUAAUUUGGUAUACGCGUUACUCACGGAAUGGACUCUCGUCGAUCCUGGAUUAGGAUUGAUUGAUCGUGUCUUUGAUUACACCGCACCAUACCGCGCUUCGUGUUUAAUAUUCCGUUUGACGAGGAGGAGAAGUUGCAAAUUGUAUUUCCUUAUUGAGCUUUGUCUAUUAGGUUGGAGCAAUACGGAAUGAUACCUUUUUUAAGUCAGAUUUCUUAAACAUAUGUAGAUCCUUGGAUAUUUCAUUAAAAUGAGUUUCCUGUAAUUGUAUUCAAUUGUGUAAUCUUCCUAAUAAUUAUCUAAUUAUCUCAUCCAUUCUGUAUUUAUAAAAAUUAUCAAUUUUUUCAUUCUUAAAUUAAAAAAAAAAUGAUGAUUUAUAGUUUCUUGUAUUAUACAUCU